GGCCGCCUGGCGUAAUGGCAACGCGUCUGACUACGAUAUGGAACGCGCGAAUUUCCAGUAAUCAGGAGAUUGCAGGUUCGACCCCUGCGGUGGUCA
rnacentral:tRNA from 1 species